GUGUGUUGUUGGUGGUAUGUACUCAGGUGAAUAUGAUGUUUGUGAUGUUAGUAACACUACAAACAUCAUAUUCACCUGAGUACAUAACACCAAUA